UACCAGCACCCCGAGUGGUCGGGACGAUUAUUGGGCCUAAAGCAUCCGUAGCCGGUUCUACAAGUCUUCCGUUAAAUCCACCUGCUUAACAGAUGGGCUGCGGAGGAUACUAUGGAGCUAGGAGGCGGGAGAGGCAAGCGGUACUUAGUGGGUAGGGGUAAAAUCCGUUGAUCCAUUGAAGACCACCAGUGGCGAAGGCGGCUCGCCAGAACGCACUCGACGGUGAGGGAUGAAAGCUGGGGGAGCAAACCGG
rnacentral:rRNA from 1 species